rnacentral:misc_RNA from 1 species
UUACAUUUCAUCUAUAACAAUAGCUAAAAUUUAAUGUUCUUCAUGAAGUUGAAGAAACCUCGAACAAUAAAUAUAAGCUGGAGAAUAUCGAGGUUGUGUCCAUGAUGUUCGAUCACUGAUGUCCAAAUGCAAGGAGUCUGUUGUGCAUCUACAAUAUUUGGUCUGCAAAUUGGUUCAUCGACUGUAUCUUGUUGUAACUAGUCGAUGAAGGACUGUAUGCUUGCAUAUACGAUGUCAAAAGGCAACGAACAGAA